rnacentral:misc_RNA from 1 species
GAUGAAGAACGCAGCGAAAUGCGAUAAGUAGUGUGAAUUGCAGAAUUCAGUGAAUCAUCGAAUCUUUGAACGCACAUUGCGCCCUUUGGUAUUCCAAAGGGCAUGCCUGUUCGAGCGUCAUUUGUACCCUCAAGCUUUGCUUGGUGUUGGGCGUCUUGUCUCUAGCUUUGCUGGAGACUCGCCUUAAAGUAAUUGGCAGCCGGCCUACUGGUUUCGGAGCGCAGCACAAGUCGCACUCUCUAUCAGCAAAGGUCUAGCAUCCAUUAAGCCUUUUUUUCAACUUUUGACCUCGGAUCAGGUAGGGAUACCCGCUGAACUUAAGCAUAUCAAUAAGCCGGAGGA